rnacentral:misc_RNA from 1 species
AUCAUCAAAUUUGGUUACUGUUGGAAAUGUUUCAUACACUAAGAAAGAGAGGUCAAUGGCCAUUUUGAAUGUCUUCAUUAAUUUUAUCCAGGUGACAAUGCCUCGGAGCAGUGUUAUCAUUCUUACUGAUCCAGAAUCUGAUCUCUUGCUGCAAAGAAAUAAAGUCACUUUGUAUCCCAUUCAGGGUGAAUAUUCUCGGGAGAAGUUAAUGCUUCAAAGAAUCAGAUCUUACAUUACUUUUCUAAACACAAGGCUGAAGGAACUU